AUAGCUCUCUCGUCCUGAUGCUUGACCAUGUGUUCCUGUCAGAGGGGCCAGGGGGCGCCAGCCAGGGAACCUGUGGUCACAGAGGAACAACAGAAACAGAUGAUGAUGCACCACUACAAGAGACAACAGGAACUCAAGAUGCUGGACGAGGUGGAAGACGACAGUCACCUCCACUCAGACUGGUCAGACAGACAGGCCUUAAAGAGACAGUUCCAGGGCCUCAGCAACAUCAAGUGGGGUCCCAGAUAGACACACGUCUUUAUUUAUUUAUUUAAUACAAAUUGUAAGCUUUAGUUUGCAAAAAAAAUUUAAGUUGCUUCUGCAAUGUUGAAAAUAAAGUGUGUUGACAAAAAAAA